GACGAACGCUGGCGGCGUGCCUAAUACAUGCAAGUAGGACGCAGUUGCGAACGGGUGAGUAACGCGUAGGUAACUACCUAUUAGAGGGGGAUAACUAUUGGAAACGAUAGCUAAUACCGCCUACUAGUAGAUGGACCUGCGUUGUAUUAGCUAGUAGGUAGGGUAAUGGCCUACCUAGGCAACGAUACAUAGCCGGCCUUGGAGGGUGAUCGGGCACACUGGGACUGGGACAAGGCCCAAGCUCCUACGGGGGGCAACAGUAGGGGAACAUCGGCAAAUGGGGGAAACCUGACCGAAGAAAGGCGCGGGGGUGAAGAAAGUUUUCGGGUCGGAAAACUCUGUUGAUAAGGAAGCGGUACUUAACCAGAAAGGAACGGCUAACUACGUGCCAGCAGCCGCGGUAAUUC
rnacentral:rRNA from 1 species